rnacentral:rRNA from 1 species
UUUGAGACCGGCGCACGGGUGCGUAACGCGCGUGCAAUCUACCCUUUACUGGAGAAUAGCCCGGAGAAAUUCGGAUUAAUGCUCCAUAUGCUCGUAGGAUCUCCUGAUCCAGCGAGGAAAGCUCCGGCGGUAAAGGAUGAGCAUGCGUCCCAUUAGCUUGUUGGUGAGGUAACGGCUCACCAAGGCGACGAUGGGUAGGGGGCCUGAGAGGGCGAUCCCCCACACUGGUACUGAGACACGGACCAGACUCCUACGGGAGGCAGCAGUGAGGAAUAUUGGGCAAUGGAGGCAACUCUGACCCAGCCAUGCCGCGUGCAGGAAGACGGUCCUCUGGAUUGUAAACUGCUUUUAUUAGGGAAUAAACCCUCCUACGUGUAGGAGGCUGAAGGUACCUGAUGAAUAAGCAUCGGCUAACUCCGUGCCAGCAGCCGCGGUAAUACGGAGGAUGCAAGCGUUAUCCGGAUUUAUUGGGUUUAAAGGGUCCGUAGGCGGGUAUUUAAGUCAGUGGUG